rnacentral:lncRNA from 1 species
CUGCCCUCUUUGGGCCUCUGUUUUCUUAUCCAAAAAAUGUAGGGAUGAUGAGACUGAGAGGGGCUAAUGAUGAGCUUCAAAGGAGAAAAGAACUUUGAGAGUGCUUGUGCCUGGCUCUUCCUGAGAUGAUGAGAACAAUGGUGACAGCUACAUAUAACUGAGUCCUCACAAGGCCCAGUGAGGUAGGUGGUUCCCAUCACACUUUCAAGUUGAGAAAACAGUCUCAGGGAGGCCUGGCUGCAUGCCCAAGGUUCCACAUACAGGGAGUGUUGGAGCAGGGAGUCAAUCUAGAAUCAGAACUUACUGGAGAUGACAGGAGCAUUGGACCAGCUUACUCACACCAGUUAUCCAGGAUACCAGUGGCAGGAGCAUCCCUGCGAGAGGCCUGACCCAGGUGUGUAGCCCAAGCAGCCAGCCCGGAAAUCCAAUGGGGUGUUCUUGGGGUGCAGAGGAUUUGUGACAGUCCAUACACAGAAAAAGGAAAAGGUGGCUUUGAAGAGGCAAGUGCAAAGAUACCAGAGAUGGGGUAUUGUCAUUUUAGGCAGUGAAUUGACGGUUUCACUUACCAGGGAGCUCCCAUCGUGAGCUCCCAAAAGGCCUAACAACUGCUAGGCCCACGGGUCAUUAGCUCCACCUUUACGGAGAAGCUGCACUAUGCAUGUCAGAAGCGGGGUAGGCAGGGAUGAGGGAAAGGACGGGAUAAGGAAAGAAAAGAUGUGCGCUGAGCUGAGCUGCGGGAGGGUAAACCUAACUACGUAACAAUGAGCAGGCUGUGAGAGGCUCCUUGCCCCUUGCAGAUUUGUGAAAAAUCAAACUUCCGCCCAAGAAGCCGGCAUUUCAGGUAGGGGCGAUGAUGUCACAAUCACAGGUUGAGAUCUGCUGCCCAGGCCAUGCUUGCUCCCCGCAGGCAGGCGAGAUUUCGGAACAGCCAGGACCUCCUCCGCAUGGGGGAACCGCUCUAGACGCUCAGAGGGGCGGAGUUGAAACGGACCUGACUGGCCAGUGUCUCAAAGACGUGGAUGGUGACCAGCUCUCUCCAGAACAGAUGGCGCUCCAGCUUUGUGGGAGAAACUUUCAAGAUGGAGUCUUGCUCUGUUGCCCAGGCUGGAAUGCAAUGAUGCAAUCUCAGCUCACUGCAACCUCCAUCUCCCAGAUUCAAGUGGUUCUCCUGCCUCAGCCUCCCAAGUAGUUGGGACUACAGGUGCUGCCUUCAGGAGGGAUUAUGACAUAUGCCUGGACCAAACACCUGGAUGACGUGACACUCCUGCAUGAGCCUUGCCCUAAGGGGAUAUUUUUACAUGUUGGUGAACUCAGCAUCUAGGUGAUGUGACUCUACUCUUCUGCCUGGGCCCUGCCCACAGAGGGCAUUGGAACAUUUCACUUGGCUCAGCACCAAGAAGAUGUUACUCUCCUACCUGGACCUCUCCCACAGGGGACACCUAGAUGAUAUGAUUUUUCUUCCUGGUUCCUGCCCAGACUUCAAAUUGUGAUGUAUAUCUGGGCCCAAAACACAGGUAAGGUAAUAACUCUCAUAGCUAGACCAAGACAAUAGAGAGAUUUUGACUUUUGUAGCUAGGCUUAGAACAAUGGGUACAUAUUCCUGGCCCAGCUCCCAGGUGAUAUGACCCUCCUACCUAGUUAGUGCUCACAGGUGUGAUUGUUACCUAUGUUUGGACUCAGUUCAUUGUGAGCAUUGUGAUCACUCAUACCUGGACCUAGCCACAAAAAAAUAUGUUGACUCUUAUACCUCAAAAUAGGAGACUCAACCCACAAGAGGUGUUGACUCUUACACCUUUUGCUGGAAAAUGUCCAGGAUUGUGAAUUUCUGCUAUUGAUUGGGUCCAGGUAUGAGUUUCAUUGCUGUGCCUGAGCUGAGUUCAAAAUAAGUCACUAUCUCACCUGUGGCUGCAUCUACAUAUGACAGUCACAAUUCCAAGUCUGGAUUGCAUUUGUGUAUGAGACUUAGGACCUCACCAGUAAGCACUGUCUAUGUGUGAGGGUGACAAUUCUAUCAGCUGGAAGUGCAUAUGAGAGUCACAAUGUCACCUUUGUUCUUGGUCCUGUUAUGACAUUGUAUCACUUGAAGGCUUUAUCCAGACCCAGGACCUUGCCUGUUGCCCUAAGCCUAGAUAUCAGAGUCAAAAUCUGUUCUCUUAGCUGGAUCCAGGUAUGAGAGUCAACAUCUCACCAGUGAGCUGUGACCAUGUAUAUGUCACAAUUUCACCUGUGGGCAGGAACCAGACAUGAGAGUCAUAUCACUUGGGUGCUGGGUAAGUGAUACAUUACAAUUCUUACUUUGGGCAGGGUCCAGGCAACAGAGGAGAGACACAUCACCUAUAUGAUUGGCCCAGCGAUGGGUGAAAAUCCUCUCUGAGAGCAGGGCCCAUUCAGGAGAGUCAUAUCACCUAGCUGCUUGGCCAAGUGAAAUAUCACAAUGCACCCUUUGCACAGGGCCAAUACAGGACAGUUACAUCACCAGGGAGCUGGGUCCAGCUAUAUGUCACAAUUCCUUUUGUGGAAAGUGUCCAGGCAGAAAAGCAGAGUCACAUCACCUAGCCAGUGGGCCCAGAGAGAUGCCACAAUGCCAUUUGUAGGCUGGGCCCUGGGAGAAGAAUAACAUCACCCAGUUCUGGGCCCAGCAAUAUGUUGUGAUCCCAACUGGAAAAAGUUUCCAGACAAGAGAGGAGAAUCACAUCAUCAUGAUGAUAAGCCAAGAGAUUUCACAAUCCCCCCCUCUGCACAUGUCCCAGGCAGAAGACCUGAAUUACCUUUUUACUUAGGCCAGUAAUGUCACAGUGCUUCCUCAGGGCAGGGCACAAACAAGAUAGGACAGUCACAUCAUUAAGUGCUAGACUUAAUGCUAGAUAUGUCAUAACCUUACUUGUGGGCAGGAUCCAGGAAGGAGAGAUUUAUGUCACCUAGGUGCUCAGUAAAGAGAUAUAUUACAAUUACAAUUCCUUUGAGGGAAGUGGCCAGGCAAAAUAGUCACAUCACCUAGGUGCUUGGCCCAGGUAUAAGUCACAAGAUAUCUGUGUGUUGAGCCCAGAAGGACUAUCAAAUUACGAAGUUUCUACGUAGAAGUGCAUGUCACAGACACCUGCAGGAAGGCCCAGGAAUGAGACUCCCAAUUCCACACAUUUUCCCACUCCAAGUGUAAGAGUCAACAACUCCUGAGACUUAGGCCCAAGUACAUGAGUCACAAUCUCAACAGUGGAUUGCAUCCUGCCAUGAGAGCCCCAAUCCCUUCUCUAAGCUGUGUUCCAGUAGAGGAGUCACAACAUCAAUGGUGUGCUGAAUCCUGGUUGGAGAGUUCCCACUUCACCUGUGGACUGGAUCUGUAUAUGAGAGUCUCAAUUCCAGCUCUCAACUGCCCCUGGGUGUGAGAUUCAGGACCUCAAUUGUGAGCUGUGUACACAUGGACAUGUAACAAUUUCUACUUUUGGCUGUGUGUUCAUACAAGACUCAAUCUCAUCUGUGUUCUCGGCCCUGUUAUGACACUCUUUGUACCACCCAUGGGAUUUAUUCAAUACGCAUGGGUGUCAUAAUCCUCUGUGAUCUUCAUACAAGUAGAAGACCCAGGACCUUACCCAUGGCCCUAGGCCUAUCUAUGAGAAUUGACAUUUUUCCUCACAUUUUUAAUUUUAACAAAUAAGUUAUUCUCCUGUCAGUUCAGAUUCAUCAGGACAUUGAAUCAUAUUCAGAAGAAUUAAAACUGAAAGACUAAUAGGUUUGUUAAAGCAAUGCAGGUUGUCAUACUAAUAAACCCUAAAAUUUCAAAGGCUUAGCAAAAUAAUACAUUUUCUGCUUACAUCACCAUCCCCUUUGGCUUAUUUCUGGUUAAGAGAACUUCUUUGUGAUUAUUCGGAGAUUAGAUUUUUUUAAAAUUUCCUAUCUGCACUCUCUCUUUCUUCAGCCAAUAGAUGAAAAAAGAUGCAAAGAAGACACAUUUGCUUUUUAUGCACACAUCACUUCCAGUCACUAUGUUGAGCAGAGUCAGUGUGAGGACAAUUGAGAAUAGCAGUUUUCUGGCAGGACAGCCACUUCUCAGCAGAAGAUGACACAAUAAAAGUAUAAAUCUUUCAUGGGAGGCUCACAUAUUUUCAGCAAAUUAAGCAUAUGCAUGAAUAAAAUUCUUGUGGUAAAAUAAAGAUGCAUUUUGUUGAUUCCUAUGGAGCUCAGGUAAUAUUGGAUAAAAAGCAAAAAAAUUAUUUGAAAUAGUAAUAUUGUGAAUGAAGUUAUUCUG